GCCUCCGUAGCUCAGUUGGAUAGAGCAACCGCCUUCUAAGCGGUCGGUCGCAGGUUCGAGCCCUGCCGGGGGCG
rnacentral:tRNA from 1 species